UGACAAGGCUUUCCAAAGUGAUCACCAUCCCGAAACUUUCUCCUACGCAUUCCCAAUCGCGCAU
rnacentral:tRNA from 1 species